rnacentral:rRNA from 1 species
UACGUAGGGUGCGAGCGUUAAUCGGAAUUACUGGGCGUAAAGCGUGCGCAGGCGGUUUUGUAAGCCGGAUGUGAAAUCCCCGGGCUUAACCUGGGAAUGGCCUUCGGGACUGCAAGGCUGGAGUGCGGCAGAGGAGACUGGAAUUCCUGGUGUAGCAGUGAAAUGCGUAGAUAUCAGGAGGAACACCGAUGGCGAAGGCAGGUCUCUGGGCUGACACUGACGCUCAUGCACGAAAGCUAGGGGAGCAAACAGG